GGGGAAUUUUGGACAAUGGGCGCAAGCCUGAUCCAGCAAUGCCGCGUGCAGGAUGAAGUCCUUCGGGUUGUAAACUGCUUUUGUACGUAACGAAAAGCCUCUCUCUAACACAGGGGGGUGAUGACGGUACCGCAAGAAUAAGCACCGGCUCACUACGUGCCAGCAGCCGCGGUAAUACGUAGGGUGCAAGCGUUAAUCGGAAUUACUGGGCGUAAAGCGUGCGCAGGCGGUUUUGUCAGCAGUGGUGAAAUCCCCGGGCUCAACCUGGGAACUGCCAUUGUGACUGCAAGGCUGGAGGGCGGCAGAGGGGGAUGGAAUUCCGCGUGUAGCAGUGAAAUGCGUAGAUAUGCAGAGGAACACCGAUGGCGAAGGCAAUCCCCUGGGCCUGCACUGACGCUCAUGCACGAAAGCGUGGGGAGCAAACA
rnacentral:rRNA from 1 species